AGCGGCGGACGGGUGAGUAAUGCUUAGGAAUCUGCCAUUUAGUGGGGGACAACAUUCCGAAAGGAAUGCUAAUACCGCAUACGUCCUACGGGAGAAAGCAGGGGAUCUUCGGACCUUGCGCUAAAUCAUGAGCCUAAGUCGGAUUAGCUAGUUGGUGGGGUAAAGGCCUACCAAGGCGACGAUCUGUAGCGGGUCUGAGAGGAUGAUCCGCCACACUGGGACUGAGACACGGCCCAGACUCCUACGGGAGGCAGCAGUGGGGAAUAUUGGACAAUGGGCGGAAGCCUGAUCCAGCCAUGCCGCGUGUGUGAAGAAGGCCUUUUGGUUGUAAAGCACUUUAAGCGAGGAGGAGGCUACCUAGAUUAAUACUCUGGGAUAGUGGACGUUACUCGCAGAAUAAGCACCGGCUAACUCUGUGCCAGCAGCCGCGGUAAUACAGAGGGUGCGAGCGUUAAUCGGAUUUACUGGGCGUAAAGCGUGCGUAGGCGGCUUUUUAAGUCGGAUGUGAAAUCCCCGAGCUUAACUUGGGAAUUGCAUUCGAUACUGGGAAGCUAGAGUAUGGGAGAGGAUGGUAGAAUUCCAGGUGUAGCGGUGAAAUGCGUAGAGAUCUGGAGGAAUACCGAUGGCGAAGGCAGCCAUCUGGCCUAAUACUGACGCUGAGGUACGAAAGCAUGGGGAGCAAACAGGAUUAGAUACCCUGGUAGUCCAUGCCGUAAACGAUGUCUACUAGC
rnacentral:rRNA from 1 species